rnacentral:rRNA from 1 species
UGCAAGUCGAGCGGUAACAGGGGGUGCUUGCUCCCCGCUGACGAGCGGCGGACGGGUGAGUAAUGCUUAGGAAUCUGCCCGGUAGUGGGGGACAACCUGCGGAAACGGCUGCUAAUACCGCAUACGCCCUACGGGGGAAAGCAGGGGAUCUUCGGACCUUGCGCUAUUGGAUGAGCCUAAGUCGGAUUAGCUUGUUGGUGGGGUAAAGGCCUACCAAGGCGACGAUCCGUAGCUGGUCUGAGAGGAUGAUCAGCCACAUCGGGACUGAGACACGGCCCGAACUCCUACGGGAGGCAGCAGUGGGGAAUAUUGGACAAUGGGGGCAACCCUGAUCCAGCCAUGCCGCGUGUGUGAAGAAGGCUUUCGGGUUGUAAAGCACUUUCAGCGAGGAGGAAGGCUCUAAAGUUAAUACCUUUAGGGAUUGAACGUUACUCGCAGAAGAAGCACCGGCUAACUCCGUGCCAGCAGCCGCGGUAAUACGGAGGGUGCAAGCGUUAAUCGGAAUUACUGGGCGUAAAGCGCGCGUAGGUGGUUAGGUAAGCGAGAUGUGAAAGCCCCGGGCUUAACCUGGGAACGGCAUUUCGAACUGUCUGACUAGAGUGUGGUAGAGGGUAGUGGAAUUUCCUGUGUAGCGGUGAAAUGCGUAGAUAUAGGAAGGAACACCAGUGGCGAAGGCGGCUACCUGGACCAACACUGACACUGAGGUGCGAAAGCGUGGGGAGCAAACAGGAUUAGAUACCCYGGUAGUCCACGCCGUAAACGAUGUCAACUAGCCGUUGGGACUCUUGAAGUCUUAGUGGCGCAGCUAACGCACUAAGUUGACCGCCUGGGGAGUACGGCCGCAAGGUUAAAACUCAAAUGAAUUGACGGGGGCCCGCACAAGCGGUGGAGCAUGUGGUUUAAUUCGACGCAACGCGAAGGACCUUACCUAGCCUUGACAUCCAGAGAACUUUCCAGAGAUGGAUUGGUGCCUUCGGGAACUCUGAGACAGGUGCUGCAUGGCCGUCGUCAGCUCGUGUCGUGAGAUGUUGGGUUAAGUCCCGUAACGAGCGCAACCCCUGAUCCCUUGUUGCUAGCAAGUAAUGUUUAGAACUCCAGGGAGACUGCCGGUGACAAACCGGAGGAAGGUGGGGAUGACGUCAGGUCAUCAUGGCCCCUACGGCCAGGGGUACACACGUGCUACAAUGGUACGUACAGAGGGCUGCCAACUCGCGAGAGUGAGCCAAUCCCUUAAAACGUAUCGUAGUCCGGAUCGGAGUCUGCAACUCGACUCCGUGAAGUCUGAAUCGCUAGUAAUCGCGAAUCAGAAUGUCGCGGUGAAUACGUUCCCGGGCCUUGUACACACCGCCCGUCACACCAUGGGAGUGGAUUGCACCAGAAGUAGUUAGUCUAACCUUCGGGAGGACGAUUACCACGGUGUGGUUCAUGACUGGGGUGAA